rnacentral:rRNA from 1 species
UGUAGCAAGGUUAACCGUAUAGGGGAGCCGGAGGGAAACCGAGUCUUAACCGGGCGUUAAGUUGCAGGGUAUAGACCCGAAACCCGGUGAUCUAGCCAUGGGCAGGUUGAAGGUUGGGUAACACUAACUGGAGGACCGAACCGACUAAUGUUGAAAAAUUAGCGGAUGACCUGUGGCUGGGGGUGAAAGGCCAAUCAAACCGGGAGAUAGCUGGUUCUCCCCGAAAGCUAUUUAGGUAGCGCCUCGUGAAUUCAUCUCCGGGGGUAGAGCACUGUUUCGGCUAGGGGGCCAUCCCGGCUUACCAACCCGAUGCAAACUGCGAAUACCGGAGAAUGUUAUCACGGGAGACACACGGCGGGUGCUAACGUCCGUCGUGAAGAGGGAAACAACCCAGACCGCCAGCUAAGGUCCCAAAGUCAUGGUUAAGUGGGAAACGAUGUGGGAAGGCCCAGACAGCCAGGAUGUUGGCUUAGAAGCAGCCAUCAUUUAAAGAAAGCGUAAUAGCUCACUGGUCGAGUCGGCCUGCGCGGAAGAUGUAACGGGGCUAAACCAUGCACCGAAGCUGCGGCAGCGAACGUAUCACCCAAGACAACUUUACGGAGUUGACGAUUGACGGAGCGAAGCGACGUCAAAGCGUUCAUUAAAGUCGAGUUGGCUUAGGGAUACGUUCGUUGGGUAGGGGAGCGUUCUGUAAGCCUGUGAAGGUGUGUCGUGAGGCAUGCUGGAGGUAUCAGAAGUGCGAAUGCUGACAUAAGUAACGAUAAAGCGGGUGAAAAGCCCGCUCGCCGGAAGACCAAGGGUUCCUGUCCAACGUUAAUCGGGGCAGGGUGAGUCGACCCCUAAGGCGAGGCCGAAAGGCGUAGUCGAUGGGAAACGGGUUAAUAUUCCCGUACUUGGUGUUACUGCGAAGGGGGGACGGAGAAGGCUAUGUUGGCCGGGCGACGGUUGUCCCGGUUUAAGCGUGUAGGUGUGUGUUCCAGGUAAAUCCGGUU